AUUGAACGCUGGCGGCAGGCCUAACACAUGCAAGUCGAGCGGCAGCAGAGUGCGUGCUCGCUGUUUCAGGGGCGGAGGGGCGAGCGAGGCCGGGGAACAUCCGAAGCUGCGGGUGAUAACGUCCGGAAACGGGCACUAUUACGCCAAUCGCCCAGAGGGCGAACGGGGGGAAGCAUCGGAUCUUCCGACCUUGCGUGAGCGUAUGUGCGGAUGUCGGGUUAGCUAGUUGGCGGGGUAAAGGCCCACCAAGGCGACGAUCCGUAGCUGGUCUGAGAGGAUGAUCAGCCACACUGGAACUGAGACACGGUCCAGACUCCUACGGGAGGCAGCAGUGGGGAAUAUUGGACAAUGGGCGAAAGCCUGAUCCAGCCAUGCCGCGUGUGUGAAGAAGGUCUUCGGAUUGUAAAGCCCUUUUGGUUGGGAGGAAGGGCAGUAAGUUAAUACCUCGCUGUUUUGACGGUACCAACAGAAUAAGCACCGGCUAACUUCGUG
rnacentral:rRNA from 1 species